AAACCAGCACCUCAAGUGGUCAGGAGGAUUAUUGGGCCUAAAGCAUCCGUAGCCUGCUCUGUAAGUUUCCGGUUAAAUUCAUUAGCUUAACUAAUGGCCUGCCGGAAAUACUGCAGAACUAGGAAGUGGGAGAGGUAGACGGUACUCGGUAGGAAGGGGUAAAAUCCUUUGAUCUAUUGAUGACCACCUGUGGCGAAGGCGGUCUACCAGAACACGUUCGACGGUGAGGGAUGAAAGCUGGGGGAGCAAACCGGAUUAGAAACCCUUGUAGUCC
rnacentral:rRNA from 1 species